UGAGUUCGAUUUUAGUCAACGCCGGUUUUCUCCUAGCUCCGGCCACCAAAACUUUCGAUCCUUAGCUCUAUGAACUCGCCUCAACCUGCUGAUCAUCAUACUAGAAGGAUCGCACCUGGAGUGACCGGUUUCACGUUCGUCGGAGCUCGUGGGUUCCCCUUGAUGUUAUUAACAACUCUCUAGAAGGCAUCGAGGCCUGAAAUUGAAGCUUUGACGUCGAAAUCGAGCCUUGCCGGAUUCUGCAAAAUUCUGGAAUUUUUCCGACCACCGAAGCUUUCGAUCGGUAUAUCUCGAGCUACAGACCAUAUUUUUCUGUGAUUCUUGAACCAGUGAGUUCUUCUUGAGUUUCUUAACAACUCUUCAGAAAGAAUCGAAGCCUUAAAUUGACGUUUUUACGUCGAACUGGAACUCGCCGUUUUCUGCAGUUUCUCGCCGGUUUCUGGAACAUUCCGGCCACCUUCAUACUGUUCAAGGUGAUCGACAGUUUGAUUUGGCGGACGAUUCGUGAAAUUGUAUUUUGAGCUGUUAAGAAGACGCAGCGGGAAUUUAGAG